rnacentral:rRNA from 1 species
UACGUAGGGUGCAAGCGUUGUCCGGAAUUAUUGGGCGUAAAGAGCUCGUAGGCGGCUUGUCACGUCGGCUGUGAAAACCUGGGGCUCAACCCCGGGCCUGCAGCCAAUACGGGCAAGCUAGAAUUCGGUAGGGGAGACUGGAAUUCCUGGUGUAGCGGUGAAAUGCGCAGAUAUCAGGAGGAACACCGGUGGCGAAGGCGGGUCUCUGGGCCGAUAUUGACGCUGAGGAGCGAAAGCUAGGGGAGCAAACAGG